rnacentral:ncRNA from 2 species
CCCUACAUUUGUCACGAUGGUUAUCCGGAAAUAAAUGUCCGGAUUGAAAAGGGAAUGCCGUGCAAAUCGGCUACAGUACCCGCUGCUGUGAUCCUGAUCCGCCAAACGGCGGAUGGUGCCUUUAACGAUCACCCACUGUUCGCCUCCCGGCGGAUGGGAAGGGGUUAAAGGUCAGGAAAGUCAGAAGACCUGCCAUUGCAAAUAUUCAGAG